rnacentral:rRNA from 1 species
UGGGGAAUUUUCCGCAAUGGGCGAGAGCCUGACGGAGCAAUACCGCGUGAGGGAGGAAGGCUUUUGGGUUGUAAACCUCUUUUAAUAAGGAAGAAGCAAGUGACGGUACUUAUUGAAUCAGCAUCGGCUAACUCCGUGCCAGCAGCCGCGGUAAUACGGAGGAGGCAAGCGUUAUCCGGAAUCAUUGGGCGUAAAGCGUUCGCAGGCGGCGAUUCAAGUCUGCUGUCAAAGCCCGCAGCUCAACUGCGGACAGGCAGUGGAAACUGAAUCGCUAGAGUGCGGCAGGGGUAGAGGGAAUUCCCGGUGUAGCGGUGAAAUGCGUAGAUAUCGGGAAGAACACCAGUGGCGAAAGCGCUCUACUGGGCCGCAACUGACGCUCAGGGACGAAAGCUAGGGGAGCGAAAGGGAUUAGAUACCCGCGUAGUCC